AAAUACUUAUGUAGCGCGAAGGAGUGACACUAAAGUGGGCUUUGUGACUGUUUAGCAAAAACACAUGACUGUGCUAACUCGUAAGAGGAUGUAUACGGUCUGACACCUGCCCGGUGCUGGAAGGUUAAAAGGAGGGGUUAGUCCGCCGCAAGGCGAGAUGAAGCUCUGACUUGAAGCCCCAGUAAACGGCGGCCGUAACUAUAACGGUCCUAAGGUUUCAAUGCCUUAGUAAAAUUUGGCUAUAUGCUGGAACGACUGAGUAUUUCAUAAUACCGAGGAGGUAAGAAUUUAUGAAUGCAGUUAAUCAGCAGGAAAGGCUAUCGGUAGACGAGAGGCGGAAUUGGUUUCUGGCUGGGUUUAUCGAGGGCGAAGGAAGCGUCUGUGUAUCUAUAAAGGAACAUAGAUGCGGAAAGUUCGGAUAUCUGAUUGAUCCGGAAUUCUUUAUCUAUCAGCAUAAGAAUAGAAGAGGAAGUCUGGAGCUUGCCAGGAGAAUAUUUGGCACAGGUAGAAUUUAUCCGAAAUCCGGCAACCCGGACGUUUUGGUCUUCGCAAUCGACAGCAGAAAAUCUCUCAUCGAGAGAGUAAUUCCAUUUCUCAAUAACUAUACGAUAUUUUCGUCAAAACUAUCGGAUUAUGAGAAAUUCAAGAAGAUAGUUAUGGCUCUUGAGAACAAAGAGCAUUGGACGAAAGAUGGGAUGAUUCGCAUUAUCCGGCUUGCUUACAUGAUGAAUCUGGAAGGCAAGCAGAGGAAGCGGAACAUUCAGGAAGUUAUCGAUAGAAUCCUCAGAGACUAUACGCCAAACUCCGCGGAAAGCCGCGGUGAAGAUAUAGUCCGUACCUCAUAGCGAUAUGAGGAGGUUAAUAGAAAUAUUAACCCGCCUUGCUUAACGUAAGGUCCAGUUAAAGUAACAGAUUAGAGCGAAAUUCCUUGUCGGGUAAGUUCCGACCCGCACGAAUGGUGUAGCAACAGAGCCGCUGUCUCAACGAGUGAGUCGGCGAAAUUGUAGUAUCGGUGAAGAUGCCGGUUACCUGCAUCAAG
rnacentral:rRNA from 1 species